AACUGAAACAUCUAAGUACCCCGAGGAAAAGAAAUCAACCGAGAUUCCCCCAGUAGCGGCGAGCGAACGGGGAGCAGCCCAGAGCCUGAAUCAGUGUGUGUGUUAGUGGAAGCGUCUGGAAAGGCGCGCGAUACAGGGUGACAGCCCCGUACACAAAAAUGCACAUGCUGUGAGCUCGAUGAGUAGGGCGGGACACGUGGUAUCCUGUCUGAAUAUGGGGGGACCAUCCUCCAAGGCUAAAUACUCCUGACUGACCGAUAGUGAACCAGUACCGUGAGGGAAAGGCGAAAAGAACCCCGGCGAGGGGAGUGAAAAAGAACCUGAAACCGUGUACGUACAAGCAGUGGGAGCACGCUUAGGCGUGUGACUGCGUACCUUUUGUAUAAUGGGUCAGCGACUUAUAUUCUGUAGCAAGGUUAACCGAAUAGGGGAGCCGAAGGGAAACCGAGUCUUAACUGGGCGUUAAGUUGCAGGGUAUAGACCCGAAACCCGGUGAUCUAGCCAUGGGCAGGUUGAAGGUUGGGUAACACUAACUGGAGGACCGAACCGACUAAUGUUGAAAAAUUAGCGGAUGACUUGUGGCUGGGGGUGAAAGGCCAAUCAAACCGGGAGAUAGCUGGUUCUCCCCGAAAGCUAUUUAGGUAGCGCCUCGUGAAUUCAUCUCCGGGGGUAGAGCACUGUUUCGGCAAGGGGGUCAUCCCGA
rnacentral:rRNA from 1 species